GAAAACCAAACCUGAUGCAUACAUUUUAUCACAAUGCCCAGUGAUCUUACACCGUAAGCACUGAAUUUAAUUGUCAUGUCCCAAGUGAUCAUAACCUUAAGCUAUGAUAUAUUUCUAUCACAAUCCUUAGUGAUCUUAAACAUAUGCUCGGAUUUCAAUUUUGUCACUAUCCCCAAUGACCUUAAACCUCAAACUCUAAUGCCACUAAGGCCACAGUCCCUAGUGGUCUUAAACCUUAGAUUACAAUAUCAUUCCUGUUACAAUCUCAAGUGAUUAUAAA
rnacentral:lncRNA from 1 species